UCUUAAAUUAAAAAAAAAGAAAAAGACAGUUACCAGAUAGAAAGUGCUACUACUCUGAGAUCACCCUGCAAGAAGAAGUUAACCUACACGGAGAGAGAAAAGAAGGCCAAGCAGUAAGAAAUGAAGAAGUCGUCCUAGAUGACCCGUCCAGUUGAGCCUCCAGAUGACUCCAACCCCAGCCACAACCUGACCAUAAACACCUGAGAAACCCAAGUGAAAAACUGCCCAGCUUUACUUUGAGUUUUCAUGUAAAUUUGAGUCCCACAUUUAUAAGAAAUGUACAAUGAAACCAAGACUCUGUUCUGGAACAUAAUCAAUUGCUUUUCUAGCAUUGUUCACAUGCUACCCUUUUCAGCAGGAAAUGGAAAACAUCUAUUCAGAAGAUACCAGAAGCUCUGAUCAUUCAUUCGGCUAAACAAGUGAGCAGCUUUAUCACUGGCCAGAUUGAAGAUAUAGUUAUGCAUCAUUUAAAAACUGAUUAGGGGCCCCUGGGUGGUUCAGGCUGUUAAGCGUCCGACUCUCCAUUUU